GAGAUCAUAGUUUAACGGAAAAACAUUUCCUUACCCGGAAGCGAUGCGGGUUCGAAUCCCGCUUAUCUCCCA
rnacentral:tRNA from 1 species